AUCGUGUUUUCAACGUUGACGUUGAAAAUGAUGGGUUUGGGUUAUCGUGUGAUUCCUUGAAAAACGUUUUUCAAAAAAACUCUUGAGCCCAAACUCAAUAUCCUCUAAUCAGUGAGCAAUGCGUGCUGUGAAAGAAUGAAGCCGGCUAACGCCAGCUAGCUCGACCAGUACAACUUGCAGGAUAAAAUAUGCGAAGGACAGAUGUCUCCUUCAAAGCCUUUUGGAUCUAAUUGAUCUGCGGCCAAAUGUGAAGUUGCUGAUUGUCGAGCAAAGGCACAACUGGCCUUCAUUAAUAUGUUGGAUAGCGAACGGUCCUGGUGGAGAUAAAUGAAGGACAGCGCGCAUUGCUCUCGACCGAGUGCAGGUUGAGCGCUUGAGACGCGUCUUUCAGCACUUGGUCUGGCUCCUUGCCGGGACACCUUGUUGGGAGUGCGCUCCAUCGGACUGCCACUGCCGCUGGCAGCUCAGGAAACAACGAGCGGCAGACUAGAUGAUGACAGAGGGUUCGUCUUUGAUCUGCCGAUACUCGGACUGUCGUUUGUCUGUGAUGGCAGGUUAAGUUCCAUUGCAAACCAAUGCAAAUUACUCAAACCAGUGGACAAACCAAAUGUAGCUAUUGGACCAUCAGGCAAAAGAAACGUUGCUCAUUCUUCAACUGUCAUUUGAAUGAAUUGUCCAACAUAAGGCUCCAAAGGCAUGACUGUGUACGACCUUUACCAGGAAGCCACUGCUGGUGCCCAUUGUAUAGUUCAGAGACCAAGCAAUGUGAGCAUGAAAGACACUAUGACAACUCACUUCAAUGCAGCCGGCAAACAAGCAUAAUCAAGAACUCGUCUUUGGGUCUGAUAGGCUUGUAGGGAAAAAUCUGUGCCAUCAACAUCUGUGAAGAUGUCUACCAAAGCCGUCCCCUUGUAUUUACUGUAGCUUUGGGUUCGGCAGAAACGGUUGGUGAGGUUCCACACAUCCCAUGAAUAGUGUCCCACAGGGAGUUAAGUCCAGAAAGCAAAACCACUCACUUAGGUGUAGGAUAAGAGUGAGGUUGACGGUGUCAGCCUCCACAAGGCAAUGACAAAACGUUGGUAGUACAGAAGUUGGGCGUGAGACUCCAUGAGCACUCGGUGGGUUCACCAGGCUGACCGGGUACUGGAACAUAGCGGACACUGAAAACUGUACUUCAUUUUUGGACUUUCUUGGCAGGUGUAAAAGAGCAACACCCUCCAUUUCCACGUCAGCCUCGUUUUCAGAGGCCCUCGAGGAAAAAGUUUAACCUCUUUGUUCGUGGAACUGGGACGAAACAGAGCAGCUCCCAGAGGUUAACGUAUGAAAGUGAAAUAGUACAUUCCUUGCAAAGUACGUACAUCCUCUACAAAAUAAAUGUCUAUGUUGAAAAAGUGCAGUGUAGUAACAAGCAGAGUUAGAAGCCGGCACAUUGAAGCGCAGAGAUUCCCGAGAGAGGUUAAGUGGCCCUUCAGUGACUGUUGUUUGAAAAAGGCUUUAAUGGCGAUCCCACAAUAACAACAGUAACACUGUCACAGACACUCACCUCUUUUAUAGUGCUCGCCUCGGCCCCUUGAAGGAUUGACGCGUCACCAUAGCAACGGUGACCCUUAAAGUCUGGUUGCAACCUGAGCCCAGGCCCAGAUUUAUGGGUGUUUUCAGCUUGUUACAGCAGAUUUAUCUCCACAAUAAAAAAGAACAACAAUCUGCAGAAAUCAUUAAGGGGAGUCUUUUGGAAAGUCUGCGUUAGAGGCAAAGGUGCACCAGAAGCAGCGCGAAUAUACUUUUUAUGUGAUAAAGCACAAACACUUGGAAGUCAAGUAACUUUGAAGCAGUUUUUCUUUUGCCUAGCAAUGAAAAGGAGGAAAAAAGGCUCAUGGGGAAUAAAAGUUUGCUCCGAGUUAAUGAGGAAAUCAUCUGAUUGUGAAAAAGACGGAAGACACGAGGGCAAAGUGGUGACGAGGAGCUGGAAAGGGUAAAAACCAGUCAGGGAAACGGGAGGGGGCAGGGUGGGGGG
ensembl:lncRNA